rnacentral:rRNA from 1 species
AUGCUAAACCUGAGAAUGGCCAAGGGUGAUAAUGGUGAUAAUGCAUCUUCUGCUAAAGGAGGUUCAGGGAAAUCUGCUUUAAAAGAUGUGAUGGAGUUGCUUACCGACAUAUUAACUGAACUUGAGAUGAAGCUUGAAGACCUGGAGCAAGAAAUGACAACACCAAGCUAUUUUACAAGUGAGGUUUUGAUUGCCUCAAAGGCAAGUGGAGGCCAGGGCGCUGGCAAUUUCAAGUCAAGAGCUGCAUCUUCUCCAACUAAAUCUUACUGCAGCAGCAACUGCAAGUACUAG